rnacentral:rRNA from 1 species
GAUCGGCGAUUGGGACGAAGUCGUAACAAGGUAGCCGUACCGGAAGGUGCGGCUGGAUCACCUCCUUUCUAAGGAGCA